rnacentral:rRNA from 2 species
UGUCGAGACGAACAAUAAGAAGCUUGCUUUUUGUUGGUUAGCGGCGGACGGGUGACGUAACACGUGGGUAACCUGCCUGUAAGACCGGGAUAACUCCGGGAAACCGGUGCUAAUACCGGAUAGAUUAUCUUUCCGCCUGGAGAGAUAAGGAAAGAUGGCUUUUGCCAUCACUUACAGAUGGGCCCGCGGCGCAUUAGCUAGUUGGUGAGGUAACGGCUCACCAAGGCGACGAUGCGUAGCCGACCUGAGAGGGUGAUCGGCCACACUGGGACUGAGACACGGCCCAGACUCCUACGGGAGGCAGCAGUAGGGAAUCUUCCGCAAUGGACGAAAGUCUGACGGAGCAACGCCGCGUGAGCGAAGAAGGUCUUCGGAUCGUAAAGCUCUGUUGUUAGGGAAGAACAAGUAUCGGAGGAAAUGCCGGUACCUUGACGGUACCUGACGAGAAAGCCACGGCUAACUACGUGCCA